rnacentral:lncRNA from 1 species
UAAUCAACAAUUCAAGCACAAGAAAAUAGCAUCACAGCAAGAGCACGAAUUUAACAACAAUUGUUCAUCAACCCAUUUUCAUACAACAUGAGAAAAUGCAAAGAUUGUACAUGAUUAUGAUAAUAACUAACCCCCUUACCUUUGAAGUUGAUUAUCCUUAAUCCUAGCUUCACUUCAGCUCCUAGGUCACCCACUUGAUUGUUAACUUCAGCUCCUAGGUCACCCACUUGAUUCCUCAAGCUUCCCCUCCAACACUCUUGUUCUUCUCUUCACUCUUUCUCUCUCUACCUCUCCUUCUCUCU